AUUGAACGCUGGCGGCAGGCCUAACACAUGCAAGUCGAGCGGAGCGGAGGAAGGGUGAGUAAUGCCUAGGAAUCUGCCUGGUCGUGGGGGAUAACGUCAGGAAACGGGAGCUAAUACCGAAUACUCUUGGAUGCGCCUAGGUCGGAUUAGCUAUGUGGUGGGGUAAAGGUCGACCAAGGCGACGAUCCGUAACUGGUCUUGGAGGAUGAUCAGCCACACUGGAACUGAGACACGGUCCAGACUCCUACGUGAGGCAGCAGUGGGGAAUAUUGGACAAUGGGCGAAAGCCUGAUCCAGCCAUGCCGCGUGUGUGAAGAAGGUCUUCGGAUUGUAAAGCACUGUAAGUUGGGAGGCGUUACCAACAGAAUAAGCACCGGCUAACUUCGUGCCAGCAGCCGCGGUAAUUC
rnacentral:rRNA from 1 species